GAUGAACGCUGGCGGCAGGCUUAACACAUGCAAGUCUAGCGAGCGGCGGACGGGUGAGUAAUGUCUGGGAAACUGCCUGAUGGAGGGGGAUAACUACUGGAAACGGUAGCUAAUACCGCAUACCCUCAGAUGUGCCCCGAUGGGAUUGGCUAGUAGGUGGGGUAAUGGCUCACCUAGGCGACGAUCCCUCGCUGGUCUGAGAGGAUGACCAGCGACACUGGAACUGAGACACGGUCCAGACUCCUACGGGAGGCAGCAGUGGGGAAUAUUGCACAAUGGGCGCAAGCCUGAUGCAGCGAUGCCGCGUGUGUGAAGAAGGCCUUCGGGUUGUAAAGCACUUUCAGCGAGGAGGCGUUACUCGCAGAAGAAGCACCGGCUAACUACGUGCCAGCCGCCGCGGUAAUAC
rnacentral:rRNA from 1 species